rnacentral:tRNA from 1 species
GGGCCCUUAGCUCAGCCGGUCAGAGCAGGUGACUCAUAAUCACUUGGUCGCAGGUUCGAAUCCUGCAGGGCCCACCA